rnacentral:lncRNA from 1 species
AUGGCUUCCCAUUCCGGCUGGGCAUAAAGUGACAGGAACAGACAUUAAUUUUUUGAGGAAUCAUAAUUUUCGAAGGCAAGCACGUCGUCAGGCCACGCUUUCAGGUCGCCGUGCUGGAAACAAGGGCAGCGUGCUAGGCAACAUGCCAUGAUGUGGGGCGCUUCCAAGGCAGCAUGGCUUGUUUACUAGGCAACAUGCUGCAAGGUGUGGGGCGUCGAUCGAUUAACUAGCAAACAUCGUUGUCGUUUAUAGGCAUCGUGUGGGGCAUUUACAAGGCAUCGGGCUUGUUUUAUAGGCAAUGGGGCUUGGGGAGACAGACGCCUUGCUUGUAUAGGCUUUAAACCUCGCGUCUCGUAUGCUUCCAUCUGACCCUUGCUUGGGCACAGGGGUUGCUCAAGCCCCUGGUC